AAGUGCGCCUGCGCAGAGCUUGCUGAGGCGCAGGCGCGCGGAAGAGCCCACCCAGAGCGCUUCAUGUGGCGCGAGUAACCAGGGGACGCUGCGGCGCGGGCAUGCCGGGACUUGUAGUUCUCCUGGAAGAGGCAGCCGCCCUGCAAUCGGUGCGCGGAGUCUGAGCGAUCCCAGCCUAGAGAUUCGGUUUCUUGUUGUGACUAUUGCCUGAGCCUUUCGGAGAGUUCGGUAUUGCUCGUAGAGCUAUGCUAGUCUGCUUGUAGAGUGAAUUGGGGGCCAUUUCUCCUGAGAUAGGCAGCAUGGUACCAGCUAUAACCUCCUUGAACUGGCUACUUGAAAGAAGUCUUCCUUCAGUGAUAUCACUUCUUCCAAGAUACAGAAGCCAAAAUAUGGAGUCCACAAAAAAUAGUGAUAAAUCUGGAAACAGCCUACAGGGAUCUUCACUCUGGAUCAUUUUUUAUGUUUAGCACCACCCCAGAUCUUCAACUACCUAAUAAACCCUGGACAUUUUUCUGUGGAAAAAAAAAAUCAACUAGAGAAGCGUCAGACUCUGAGAUACCAGCAUGCUGAGGAUAAUAGCCAAUGAAGCCAAGAUGUGCUGAAAUCUGACUACUUCAGGAUUAUGUGGAAUGAGGAAAUUUGGAGCUUCUGCUUUUAAACCCUUUUGGAAAUGCACUGGAGACAACUAGUUGCUUCUUAUUAUUACACAAAGAAAGCUGCCUCUGAAAGGCCUUCUGCGCCACACCUGCCCCAAUCCUCCAGCCACGUGGAACCACUGUGGAAAGAGCUUUGCUGUCUCUGCCUCUGGGCCUUUAUUUGUGCUGCUGCCCCUGUCUGGGAAAACCCAUCUCCUUGGUCUAUUAAGCUGUGCCUCCCAUUCUCUGUAAGCUCCUGCAAGGCAGGGACUGACUGUUCUCUACCAUGCCUGAUAUCUAGCUCAAGGCAGAUUUUCCAGUGAAUGAAAAAAAUCACUUAAAAAUAUUCUUAAUUAAUAAAAGCCCAACAGGGCUGGUGCUGUGGCUCAGUGGUAGAAUGCUUGCCUAGCAAGUGUGAGGCACUGGGUUCGAUUCUCAGCACCGCAUAGAAAUAAAUAAAAUAAAGUUCACUGACAACUAAAAAAAUAAUAGACCAACAGUCUAAGCUGUUGGUUGUCUUGCACAAAUGCAACUAGACAGAAGAGAUACUGUCUUUCCAGAAGCCAGAGACAUUUCUUCACAGUAUCAGGUAUUCCUGGGUUUUGAUACAUUUAUCAUUGACUUGAUUAAAUGUAGAGUUUCCUGAUAAACUUUAACAAAUGAUUAUAUUUAAAGAAAAUCUAUUAAAAUUAUAUCAUUUAGAACAAGAGCAUUCAUUAAUCUACCUGAGAUUUGCUGUUUUCUCUAUGUCAGAUGUUUUCUUUUAGGAGUGAGCAUGGAACACGUCCCAUUUCCAAAAAGAAGAUAAGUAUGCUUUUGAUCACUUCCAGAAAGGAAAAUCACUCAGAGUGUACACAUGCUGCCGGCAAACUAUUAGGAAUAUUAUUUACACCUGUUCAGGACUAUCCACAAUGAGUAUCAUGGUCUGUGAACCAGUGGCCCAUUCACAGCAUACACUAAUUUGCCAUUCUUUUUUUUAAAAUUUGUUUUAAUUAGUUAUACAUGAUAAUAGAAUGCAUUUAUGCACUUUGAUAUAUUUUACAUAGAUGAGAUAUAAUUUCUCAUUUUUCUGAGUGCACAUGUUGUAGAAUCACAUUGGUCAUGUAAUCACAUAUAUACAUAAAGUAAUAACGUAUAUUUUGUCCUACUAUCCUUUCUGUGCCCACAUCCCCUCCUCUCCUCUCCCGUUACUUCCCUCUUCCUAAUUUAAGGUAACUCUAUCCUUCUCUAGUGCCCUGACCCCCUUCUUUGAAUUAUCAUUCAAAUAUUAGAGAAAACAUUCGACCUUUUUUUGGGGGGGAUCAGCUUUUUUCGCUUAGCGUGAUAUUCUCAAACUUCAUCCAUUUACUGACAAGUGCCAUAAUUUCAUUCUUCUUUAAAG